UACGUAGGGACCAAGCGUUGUUCGGAUUUACUGGGCGUAAAGGGCGCGUAGGCGGCGAAUCAAGUCAGCUGUGAAAUCUCCGAGCUUAACUCGGAACGGUCAGCUGAUACUGUUUUGCUAGAGUGCAGAAAGGGCAACCGGAAUUCUUGGUGUAGCGGUGAAAUGCGUAGAUAUCAAGAGGAACACCUGAGGCGAAGGCGGGUUGCUAGGCUGACACUGACGCUGAAGCGCGAAAGCCAGGGGAGCGAACGGG
rnacentral:rRNA from 1 species